GCUGCCCGUGCAGGGGCGGAGCUUCGGGCACAGGAGGCGGAGUCACAGUGCCGGGCACGGGGGGAGGAGCUUCAGCAGCUGCGAGAGGCCGUGGAGGAGGCCCGGCAGUGCCGGCGCCAGGCGGAGCAGGAGCGGGACCAAGUGGCCGCUCAGGUGGGACGUGGCCCCCGGCACAGUCCCCCCCCCGCUGACCCCCGGGGGCUGCAGGCGGCGCUGGAGGAGCUGCGGGAGCACAACCGGGGGCUGCGGGACCACCUGGGACAGCGGCUGGGACAGGUGCAGGAGCUGCGUGAGGCGCUG